rnacentral:rRNA from 1 species
CACGUAGGGUGCGAGCGUUGUCCGGAAUCAUUGGGCGUAAAGCGCGUGUAGGCGGUUCGGUAAGUCUGCUGUGAAAGUCCAGGGCUCAACCCUGGGAUGCCGGUGGAUACUGCCGAACUAGAGUGCGGAAGAGGCGAGUGGAAUUCCCCGGUGUAGCGGUGAAAUGCGCAGAUAUCGGGAGGAACACCAAUUGCGAAGGCAGCUCGCUGGGACGUUACUGACGCUGAGACGCGAAAGCGUGGGGAGCAAACAGG